GUACGUGCUUACAACAUAGCGUUAAUGUGUUGGAUCCCAUUAGAACUCCACUGUUAAGCGCACUCGGGCUAGAGUAAUACUAGGAUGGGUGACCACCUGGGAAGUCCUAGUAUUUUACAUGCU
rnacentral:rRNA from 1 species